rnacentral:lncRNA from 1 species
AGCCCCAGCACUUGAGACAGAGGCCGGGAGUUCGCUCAGAGCUGGAGUCCAACCUGUUAUACAUAGGGUUUUCACAGUUGAUGCCUUCUUGGUCAAGUCCAUUCCUGUCGGAGUAUAGGAGGUAAAGCCGGGGAUCUCUGAGGUAGAGGAAAAGACGAAGGCUGAAGGAUGACCGUCCUCACUGACAUUCAGUAGAAGGAGAGAACUUAUCCUCUGAUGACCACAGGUGGUGCUUACACACACACACACACACACACACACACAUAUACACAAACACACUUUCUCUCACACUCACACACAUACAUGUACAAAAUAAAUAAUAAUGUAAUAAUGCAAUUUUUAACAGUGAAGAAUGACCUGAUAACAUGUUUCUGGGUGUGAAAGCGAAAGGACAACUUUGGCUGCCUUUCCUCAGGAAGAAGAGAAUAAGAAGAAAUUAAGUUGCACUCCGGCACCCACACCCCGGAGAAGCCUCAAUACUUGUAGUUAGUUGGAGCAUCUGGGUUCCAGGGACCUGAAGCACAUACCAGGGCAUGCUAGUGAGCAUGGGCGUUUCUCCCCAGCCCUGAAAUCCCGUUUUAAAAGGUUCUCUCUUACUGCUUUUGAAUCUGCUCACGUCAAACCUCCUCGGUGCUUGAAGCCAAAGUGCUCACAUUUUUCUUGUCGAUGGAGGAGGCAAUUCAAUUAUAUAUUUAAGAGGCUGAGGCUGUUGCUCACCUGUGCACAGACAUAUAUCAGUCACGACCGAAAUUUCCUGGCGAUAUGCCCAGAGAUAAAUAUAUCUGAGUAUGACCAUGGAAUUGGACGUGGGAACGCAGAUUUGAAAAGCUGCAUCAGAUCCUCGUUGAUUUUCAGCUCUGAGAAUUAUUGUGUCCGGCCAGCAGAUCACAGGUCUAGGUUCGAGCCUGGAAAGGCAUUUUGGAAACCUGGAAGAGAAGAGGGACUAGGCGACGAGAGAAAGAAAUGUAGCUAAGUAAAAGCAGAUUCUGAUCAAAGCUCAAUUUUACUGUUCCGCACGCAGUAUGAAGCAGGGGAAGGGGGCGCCGAUUCCUGCCAAAUAGUCCUGGGGACCAGUAGCAGGGUGACCACGUGUAUGGUUCCGAACAGCAAAGCAGCAGGUUCCAGCAGUGGGCAUGGCAGAACGAUUUAGCGGCAAGCUCCAUCCAGGUGUAAACACUGGAACCAUUGAGGCUGGGGGAGGGGAGACUACAGAGAAUGGUACCCAAGCCUUGCACAUGAUAGGCAAGCAGGCCAACAUGGGCUACAUCCCCUCCUCUCUUUUUCUUUUCUGUUUUCUCCUCCUCCCCCUGCCCCACCCCAUGUAGCCCUGGCUGUCCUAGAACUCGCGCUAUGGAGCAGGCUGGCCUUGAACUCACAGAGUUCUGCCUGCCUCUGCCUCCUGAAUGCUGGAAUCAAAGGCUCCCCCUAGCCUUUUCUUAACUCUUUGUUUUGAGACAUGGACUUACCCAUGUUGUUCCAGAACACUUGCAGCCUAGGGGGACCUCGGAUUUGUGACCCUCUUACUUUAGCUGAAUGGUGAGAUUUAUGCCUGCUUCAUUAGGUCAAACUUCUUCAUAUGCACCUUCUCAUUCUUCUAUCUCUAUGCAGGAUUUGCUUCAGAUGGUGAAAGGCUGUACCAUGUCCAUGCUUCUUCCUAUGGAACAGGCAUGGAGCCAAGCAUUCCAAAUGGUCAGAAGCUCUGUGGGUUAUUUAUUUAUUUAUAGAUUUAAUAGGUGGAGCCCAGGUCCUCAACAUGCAAGUUAAGUGCUCAAUAACUGAACCAAACCCCUAGUCUUAGAAUAUAUCUGACUGGGCCUCUGCUCAGUAUAAAAUUAUUUUACAUCACUUUAUAUGCAAAAUUAAUAAGCUAGAGAGAUGGCUCUGUGGUUAAGAGCACCUGCUGCUCGUUUGAUUCCUAGCACCCUAGCUAGCAGCUACCUUUAAUUUCAGUUCCAAGGGAUCUGAAACCCGCUCUGUUACUAGCCAUGGUGCAUACACAUACAUGCAGACAAAACACUCAAUGUAGGAACAAAAGGUAAGCUAAUAUACAAUCUGCCACUGGGCUGACAUUUUAUUUAACCAAUCUUUAAUUGUGGAUUUAUUUGUAUAUCCAUUUACAUUUUGGGUUUUUUUGCUAAUUUUAUACCACCUUAAAGUCCUUAGUAAAUUGAAAUUUUUUUUCCACAGCCAUCAUUUUAUUUCUAGGAUAGAUAUCUAAUAGUAUUUUAUUUUUAGGCUAGCUGGAAUUCUUCGAGAAUUUGUUUUGAGGCUUAAUUGACUGGAAUGGCAAAGAGUGCUUAUGCCUGUAAUUCUCUAGUUUGUUUGUUUGUUUGUUUGUUUGUUUGUUUGUUUGUUUUGUUUUCAAAACAAUGUUUCUCUGUGUCCCGGGUGUCCUGGAACUGGCCCUGUAGACCGGACUGGCUUCAAACUCAGAGAGCUACCUGAGAGCUUUCCGUUGCCUACAGAGUGCUGGGAUUAAUGGCUUGUGCCACCACUGCCUGGCGUUGUCUGUAACUCUUAGCCUGAUUUUGUUUAGUCAUUUUUCCAUGGCUGUGUUCAUUAACUUUAUUUGCUAAAUUCACCUAUUUAUUUUUAGGGAGGUGAUCUUGAAAUUAUUCUAAUCUUCUUAAUGAAUUAAACUUUAAUUGAUUAAAGGC